CUUCUUUUUUUGUAUAUUUUUAUAUACUAAUAUUUAGAAAAUAAACAAUCCUUUUUUUCCCCAUUUUCCACCAUUUUAGCUGUUUAUAUCUUGAAAAGUAUAAACAUCAAAAGAAAUGUACACUUCAAAAAUUACCAGCAAGACAAGAUCUAAAAAAAGCAAUAAUCACAAAAAUCCUGUAUAGAAGCUUUAUAGGAGUUAUAAUCCAUGGUUGCAAUUUUGGCUAUUACCUUGAAUACUUACAAAAUACAAAAGUUGUAUAAUACUGUAAACAGAAAAUAUAUUUGUAUUCCUUAAAGCUGAUGGGGUGGACAGAGGGAUCCCUGAUUCCCACGCCCUAAAUUCUGCUUUGCCCCUUUAUUCCCAAAUUUGGUUAUUCCCAUCUCACCCUUCAUAGCUAGGGUUCAUAGUCUAGUUUGAACAAGUAGUAUUGUUUUAUUUGAAUAACAAUUUUGCUCAUGGUAUCUUUUUUGUUAUAUAAUGUAUACAAAGAAUAGGAUUACAAGAUUGGACAGUACAACAGACUACUCUAACCACCAACACCUAUAAAAGAUAGACAUACGAAACACAGACAAACAAUAAACAGCAUUAUAACUGUCUUGCCUUAGUCUGCUAAUGGCAUACAGUGUAGUAUUUAUUGACAAUGGCGUACAGGGCAGUAAGUAUUGACAAUGGCGUACAGGACAGUAAGUAUUGACAAUGGUGUACAGGGCAGUAAGUAUUGACAAUGGCAUACAGGGCAGUAAGUAUUGACAAUGGCAUACAGGGCAGUAAGUAUUGACAAUGGCGUACAGGGCAGUAAGUAUUGACGAUGGCAUACAGGGCAGUAAGUAUUGACAAUGGCGUACAGGGCAGUAAGUAUUGACGAUGGUGUACAGGGCAGUAAGUAUUGACAAUGGUGUACAGGGCAGUAAGUAUUGAU